rnacentral:lncRNA from 1 species
CAACAGCUUCGUGAAAGUCAGGUAUCAUAUGCUUUUCUCUAUGUUUAUUCUUCGUCAAAUCAAAUAAUAAAAUUUGUGUUUAUGCUCAUGUUGUCGUAUUAUCUUUUAUGUGUUCAUUGCUACAACACUUGAGCCGAGAGUCUUUCGGAAUCAACUACUCUACCACUAAGGAAAUCUGUUAAAUCCGAUGCAGACCGGGUGUAAUUAUAUAAAAGAAAGUAUGAAAAUUAGUAUAAGCUUCGAAAAACCACGCAGGAAACCAAGAAGAUAGCUGACUCCUUUGGUUUUCAGGGGGAACCUUAAAGCCUUGGGUGUCAGUAUGUGCGUUCGAACCUCACGAGCACCCACGGCCCCUAAAUCCUGGGUCUGCCACGGUAAGCUAAGGGUAUUGUUGUUGUUGUUGUUGUUGUUUUGUGUUUAUCCAUAUGUUGUAUGCAUAACUUCUUCGGGUUGUGCGCUCCUUUAAUUUCCUUGUCAAAACAUGGCAUGGCACAUCAAUAAGGUUUGUAGCUCUGGACAGACUUAGGGAGAUUAUAGGAUGUAUUGAGUUUAAUGAAACUCAGUGAGAAAUUUUUUGUUGGAUCUGUUUGUUGCUGCUGUUGUGCUGAUUGUUCAGCUGAGCUUCUUAAGGAACAAACUCUUCACACCACACACCACCGAAAUGCGUAAAUUUUAAAACUUUUUCCCAAAUAGGUUCUAAUUUCUCAGUAAUAUCUUUAUCGCAUUAGUUUUCUAUAUAUAUACCUCAUAUAUUUGAAAUAUUGCUACAUUUUCUAAAAUUAGCUGGAUUUGAAAUGAAACUUGGCUGCUGGCAGGUUUCUUUAUCAAUGAUAGAUAAAGGAACUCAAAUUGUUUUUCCAGAGCUUUAUAUUUAUAUACAGAUAUUCAUGGCUUUUCUUUGUCUUUUUUAUUGUAUAAUUUCUGUCAUAUAGUUUAACUUUUCUUGUAGUUGAUAGUGUUCUGAUAUGCACGAUUAUGUCAGAAUUGCGGGAAAGAUUGAAUCUGCUUGAUGAAUAUGCUAUACCGACAAGCAAAUACUUUCUUGGAUACUUGCCUGAGACAACUUCUGCAUUUUUUUUUUUCAAAGCUUACUUCUCACAAGAUGUUUGUCUCUAAUUGGUUUACUUUUAGGACGACGAAGCUCCCUUGUGUUCAUUUUAGGACACUAAAUAUGAGGUCAAUGAGAUUCUCAAAGUUAAUGGAGAUGAGUGCGGCAUUUACUUAAUCUUCUAUAUUACCUUUACUGUUACAAAUGGUGAGAAGGAAUAUUUUCAAGCUAAGGUGGUGCGACGUGUAGGUGGAUCUUUGCGUUUCUCAAUUGUUAGGCCAAGGGUAAUGAAAUCUGCUAUACAUGUCUUUUGUCAUCUAGUAAUUCGUUCUUCCUUUGGUUUAUUUUUAAUUGUUAUUCUAACUCUCUCUCUCUCUUGUGCUUUUAUGUAGGCGAAUGGAGCUUUGGGCAUAUAGUGGAUGUGACGUUUGUGCAUUGUUUUGCCUCGGGUUCAAGCUUUAGUUUUGCGUUAACAGCUCUUGUCAAUGUUGGACACUGUUUCUAGUAAAUUGUGCCUUUGUUU